UGAGCAAUCUGCCCUUCUCUUCGGAAUAAGCGUUGGAAACGACGUCUAAUGCCGAAUACGACCUCCUUUCGCAUGAUCGGAGGUGGAAAGCUCCGACGGUCUGGGAUGGGCCCGCGGCCUAUCAGUUUGUUGGUGGGGUAACGGCCUACCAAGGCGACGACGGGUAGCUGGUCUGAGAGGACGACCAGCCACACUGGAACUGAGAUACGGUCCAGACUCCUACGGGAGGCAG
rnacentral:rRNA from 1 species